GUAUAUAGAUGCGUUAUACGCAGAGAUUACAUUCUUAAACUGAAGCGUUUGUAAUGAAACAUAGGAAGGCUUCCAAGCAGAGAGUAAGCAAAGUCCUGAGACCUCACUUACUACUUCGCCCUUCCACCGACCUACAACAGGUGCACAGAGGUUGAAGAGUGGAUGAGCCAGGCGUGCACAUGCCCCUAGAGGCCAGCUACAACCUGUUCAGUUACUCGUUAAUGAUCCUUCCGCAGGUUCACCUACGGAAA
rnacentral:misc_RNA from 1 species